AAGGCAACAAAGAAAAUCAAUUACGGAGUUCUCAACCUGCAUGAAGGUAAGAGAUCUGAUCUCUUCUCUUAUCUAGAUGUGAUCUAGAUUUUAGAUCUGAAACUAUUUCAGAUCUAGCGUAUUGAUUUGAUCAAUACCAAAGCCUUUUAUUUUUUGAUUUAUAAAUGCAAUAUGACAUGUUAUAGGUCCUAAUUGUAGGGUUU
rnacentral:lncRNA from 1 species